AGAGGACAUAGGUCUGUGGGUGGCCCCCAUCAUAACCCGGCAGCCAAGAGACAGUGGCCGCAAAGGCGCUAGUGUUCACCGACACAUUGAUCAUGAAAAGAACAGCACUCGAUGAAAGAAAAAAGGAAGUGAUGAAAAAUGUUUCCACAGAGCUAUUAUGUCAACUCAAACUGAAGACAACCAGCAAAGGCAUCGCACCAGUCGACAAUUUGUCGAAAAGCAUCGUUCAGCAACUACUCCUGGUCAGUAAUAUUGUCUAUUUCUGAGUACAAUACACAGUCAUCAGCAUAAAGCUUAACCAUAACUGAAAUACCCUGCAGCAUAUCAUUA